AGAUUGAACGCCGGCGGAAUGCCUUACACAUGCAAGUCGAACGGCAGCACGGGAGCAAUCCUGGUGGCGAGUGGCGAACGGGUGAGUAAUGCAUCGGAACGUGCCCAAUCGUGGGGGAUAACGUAGCGAAAGCUACGCUAAUACCGCAUACGAUCUACGGAUGAAAGCAGGGGAUCGCAAGACCUUGCGCGAAUGGAGCGGCCGAUGGCAGAUUAGGUAGUUGGUGGGGUAAAGGCUCACCAAGCCUUCGAUCUGUAGCUGGUCUGAGAGGACGACCAGCCACACUGGGACUGAGACACGGCCCAGACUCCUACGGGAGCAGCAGUGGGGAAUUUUGGACAAUGGGCGCAAGCCUGAUCCAGCAAUCGCGUCGUCGU
rnacentral:rRNA from 1 species